rnacentral:rRNA from 1 species
CAUCAUGGCAGUGGAAACUGAGAGGCUUGAGUAUGGUAGGGGCAGAGGGAAUUCCCGGUGUAGCGGUGAAAUGCGUAGAUAUCGGGAAGAACACCAGUGGCGAAGGCGCUCUGCUGGGCCAUUACUGACGCUCAUGGACGAAAGCCAGGGGAGCGAAAGGGAUUAGAUACCCCUGUAGUCCUGGCCGUAAACGAUGAACACUAGGUGUCGGGGGAAUCGACCCCUUCGGUGUCGUAGCUAACGCGUUAAGUGUUCCGCCUGGGGAGUACGCACACAAGUGUGAAACUCAAAGGAAUUGACGGGGGCCCGCACAAGCGGUGGAGUAUGUGGUUUAAUUCGAUGCAACGCGAAGAACCUUACCAGGGUUUGACAUCCUGCGAACCUCUUAGAAAUUUGAGGGUGCCUUCGGGAAUGCAGUGACAGGUGGUGCAUGGCUGUCGUCAGCUCGUGUCGUGAGAUGUUGGGUUAAGUCCCGCAACGAGCGCAACCCACGUUUUUAGUUGCCAGCAUUUAGUUGGGCACUCUAGAAAGACCGCCGGUGAUAAACCGGAGGAAGGUGUGGAUGACGUCAAGUCAUCAUGCCCCUUACACCCUGGGCUACACACGUACUACAAUGCUACGGACAAAGGGCAGCAAACUCGCGAGAGCUAGCAAAUCCCAUAAACCGUGGCUCAGUUCAGAUCGUAGGCUGCAACUCGCCUACGUGAAGUAGGAAUCGCUAGUAAUCGCAGGUCAGCAUACUGCGGUGAAUACGUUCCCGGGCCUUGUACACACCGCCCGUCAUACCAUGGAAGUUGGCCAUGCCCGAAGUCGUUACUCCAACCCUUGUGGAGGAGGACGCCGAAGGUGGGGCUAAUGACUGGGGUGAAGUCGUAACAAGGUAACC